rnacentral:rRNA from 1 species
UAAUAGUUUGAUCCUGGCUAUUAUUUUUGCUUUUUAUUUAAAGUGCAUGUACUACUCAUAUAGUAACUUCAGAAACAUUAAAAAGAAAUUUCACAAAAUCGCAGCACAUAAUAUUAACCAAUAAUUGAAAGAUUGAUUUAGUUUAUAAAAUAGGAUUGGCCAAAAAUUGUGCCAGCAGCCGCGGUUACACUCUGUAUCCAAGCAAAAAAAAAUCGGAGUUGUAGUUAAUAACUCAAUUGUUAAAAUAUUUUUUUACCACAUCGAAAAGUGAAAUUUAAUUAUAUGUUCUAAAAAUUAUUUUAAUAAUUUAUUUAUGAAACUAAAAAAACUAAAACAAA